CCUGAGAGAGUAGUAGAGAGGCAAUAUAUAGUAAAAUUUAUUUACACUAGAUAUGCUACAUAACAUAUCCGAUUGGGAAACUCCAAAUUCAUCAAAAAAACGAAACCAACAGUAUGAUUAGCAUCUUACAGGCAGACACAAACGCUAGCAUCGGUGCAGGCCCCACUCAAUGCUGCCAUUCUGACUGAUGUAACGACAGGCGUUUUCGGGAGCAUUGCCACAGCGGACUGCUGAGGUCAAUCCCAAUUGUCCUGUGUGCUAGACAAUGCCCUUUUGAUGCCAUAUUCACGUUACCACUCCUGCCAUCACAAUUGGAGUCCUUGUGCCCCUGCCAACAGCUCUAUGCUACUUGUCGGGAUGAAGACCUUUGUCCUCGCCUGGGUUCCAUUCUAUCCUCUGCGCCUGUAGUUUUUUUUUUUUUUUUUUUUUUUUUUUUUUUUUUAAAGGAACAGUAUAGUGAGCAAAUCUCCCUCAUAUCCCAACACACUCACGCUCACUUUCUCCACCCACCCACUUGCUGAAUUAGUGGUGUGAUCUAUUUAGAGCUGUCCCGAUACUGUGUACAGUUUUCUCCCAGAACAGUCAAACCUGCAAGGCGCUGGUAUGCUAAGACUCUAGCCCACUCAAAGGGUAGAGGAAACAGAGAGAGAACUGAAAGUCUGAAGACCUGACGACCUACAUGCCUUCAUGGGGAACACCAGUAUUACGGAAGGGAAGACUGCCCUGUCUGUGGGCGGCUCUUCAAUAGCCCGUGGCAAGACUUCCAUCACCAUGGGCAAGUCCUCAAUCACGCGUGGGGUCACCACUACCUCUAUGGGUGAGUCUACCAUAACCAGAGGCAAGACCACCAUCUCCCUGGGCACAGCCAGCUUCAGCCGAGGCAAAACUACAACCUCCUUCCGCAAGGCCCUCAUGCCCAAACGUCGGACCAAGUAGAUGGAAAGGAGAUCUAUAAACACUGAAACAAACACCAAAACUUCAAAAGCAAGAAAGAGCACCGAAAAGGAUGAGACAACAGAUAUACAGCAAGAGGACGACUCAAAAGCCUCAAAAGGAAAGGCUUUUCUUUUACUGAGAAACACCUGCUUUACAAAAGGGAAAAUCAAACUGAUGAAAAGCAAGAAGGCCAUCUCAUGGGGGAAGACAGUUCUUUCGAGGAGCAAGACCAAACUGAGGAAGGGAGAGACUGCGUUUGUGAGUUCUUGAAUCAUCGGAGUCCACACCUUUACAUUACUAGCUUCAGCUGUCUGGAAACCUUUAUCAAGAAGAUGAGCAAAACUGGCCAUUCCAUUAUAUCAGAAAGUCAAGACAUGGGGACAUCAACAAGAGGCUUUCUUUGACCGCUGGAACUCUUACCUCUCGACUUUGACCUGGGAGGCAUUCAUCAUGCACUAUUUUACACUUCAUCACGUCUUAAAUCUCUUAAACUUGCCCCAUAUCAGUGAUGGUUUACUGCCAUUCACUUUUACGGAUCUCAUGGUUCAAAGUACUGAGCUCUUGCCUUGUUCCAUGAAAACAAUGUUUGGAAUAUUCUUUUAUCCAAAAAAAACUUACAGUACAUUGGAGGUAUUCUAUUAGUAAAAUUCACCUGACAAACAUGUAAACGUAUUAUGAGUGCCCUUAAAAUGAAACCUUUGUUUAUCUCCUCUGAAACUGACAUUUGUUUAGUUUGAGUGUAAGAACUGAAAAAGUAGAAAACUGAAACUGUGUAAACUGUGUGACUGUCUAUAGUUAUAGUAUGUCAGUGAUCCAGAAAGUAUGUGUAACCAAAAAAGCUGAAGAAAUGCAACACCACUAAUGUUUCGAUCUUAGCGCAGAACAAACUCAGCUUUGAGAUAAGUGAGUAUUUUAUGGGGAGUGAAACUACCCGUGUUUCUGUUGGUCAGAACCCUUCUCCACAAUGUCAACAGCUCUCAGUUUUAACAAAGAUGCUUUAGAUAAAUAUAUUUGUUAGAUUUGCUCCUGAUUUCCAGCUUAGAUCAGCUACCAUGCCCAAGACUACACUGCCCACUGUGAUUUAGGGGCCAAAAUCAUAUAUCCCUGACCAUUCAGCAUUUCAGCCUGGUUUAAAGGUCUCUAAAGACUGAACAACUUACAUUAAUGGGCAUCUCACUGUGGACUGAGAGACAUGACAAUGGGGCUGAGGGUUUGAUGAUUGAGAGUGAAGGAAAUAAACGCAAUGGUCUCCUGAUCUCAAUGUACCAGAGAAAUACAGACACAUGACAGAAGCAUGGGAGGUUUUAGCUAUGUGUCUCUCAGAGCACCAAGUAAUCUGAGCUAAUCACGAUCCAAUUUAAUUAAGCAGUGUUUGAGAUUUCUUUGCUAGCAGCCAUUAAUUAAGAGUCAAAAAUCUUUUUUUUUUUUUUUUCUCGUCAAGUCCUUUGUCCUGUGUAAUUUGUAAUUUGUUUUAAUGUCACAAACAGCUCUGGCAUGGCCAUACAAAAGAUGUGGGUAGUGAAGAAAGGCCUCUGCCCUUUUCAACAAAAGUGUCUUUGUGUUUAUAAUAUUCUGUGAAGUCUGAAGUCCAUUUUUGUAAUUCUUUCUUGUUCAUUUUUCCACACAGCAUUAGCAUAGCAUGUGUUUCAUGUGUUUAACCAGUUUUGCCAUCCAGACGGUAGAACCUUGAAAAGUUUGGUUCUAACCAUGGUGCUGUAUACUUAAUAAAUAUGUGCUGACAUUAAUGAA